CAGAGGUCAUGAGGCAAGCUGCAGAGGAUGCACAGGACUUGCGAUACAGGAUCCCUGUGACACAGAACAAAAGUUUAUUUAGCCUGAUAUGAACAAACAUGCUUUCUACUGGAGGAAAUCAGCCCCAAACGAAGAACAAGCUCAUGGGAGAAUUUGGAGUCUACAGAGCAAUACUCACCAACACAAAGAUUAUAAAUAUUCUCUCUUUGACUUGCCUUGUAAGAAGCCCUCUAGAGACUGUUCUGCACUUUUUAAAAUUGAAUGCGUGUAAUAUGUACAUUAAAUAUGUAUUUUAAAUUUUA